GUGUGCCUUGUUUGGAGAUAAAGGCUGGUAAUGGGGAAGAGCUGUUACUGAUUUUUGUGCUUGUUUAUGGCAACAGGAAAUGAAAUAUUCCUGGAUGGCAGAAAGAGAAACAUGGAACCAGAAUGACCUGUCAAUGGUGAGAAGGGUACUUGGAUAAAUGGUCCCAGCAGUGUCACCAGGAAAAAGAGGCUGUUUUUUAAUUCAAGGAGCAAAAUGGAAGCACUUGGUAACAAGCAUUUACAUCGUGAGCUGAAGACAUGAUCUGGAGGAAAUUAUAGAGAUGGAGGAGAAUCACCUGUAAAUACCCGAAGGUACACACCAAAACAGUGAGGAAAAGGCAGAUGUGGUUGUAGAGCACAUCCAGCAAGAGACAAAAGAAAGAGAAGAAACUUUUGGAAGCUUCGUCUGUGGCCUGAAUGCCAAAGCUGUGCCUUUGCUGCUUUCUGCCUCAUCAGUCAUGAAGAUUUUGCAGGGAGAGCUGAGUUGAUGCCAGUGCUGCUGCCUGAGGUGCAGAGCAUCUCUGAGACUGCUCCUGAGUUGUUCCUGGGUCAGUUCACUCUGCCCAGCCCAAAGUUCACUGCUGUGUACAAAGGUUCAGAUGUUCUUUCCUCUCUGCUCCACGGAGAUCCUCUGCACAGCAGGAAGCCUGACCAGGUGGCUUCUGCCUGGCUGAGUGCACCUCCAAGGGAGACUCUCCAACCAGCAGCUCUUCUUAAGUGAAUUCUCUUCUCUGGUUUUCCUACAUGGAAAUCUAGCCAUGGGGCAAGGAAACCCUUCCAGCUGGUCAGGCCCCGAACACUUCCAAAACUCUGAGAAUCUGUCUCUGGUGGAGCUGCUGCAUUCAUCUUCCCUGUUGUAAAGGCAGCAGCUAAAUCCAUCCUUCCUUAAGAGCCAUGCAUCAGAUGGAGAUCAAAAGACACCUUGGAAAGAAGGAUGAUAAAGCACAGUCUUCCUGCAGGACUUAGCUCUUCCAGUGAAGCCACAGAUCCAGAAGAGUGUGGGAGUCCAGUUCAGGGAACAACAUCUGUCAGGACCACUGAACAAAGGGCAGAGGUAUUUCAGAGGAAGACUCUUUCACUGUGUUUCUGAUGGAAAAAUCAGCACUUUUCCCCCCUGUGACAUCACUGGCCAAGCAAUAUCUGUUCUGCCAAGGAGCUUUCUCUGCCAGGUACAGCACCAGGAUCACCGAGUCAGCAUCCACUGCAGCUGUCUGGACAAGCCAGAUCUGGUGACAUCAAAAAACUUCUAAAAUUUUUGAUCAGGAGAAGAAAAAGAGGGAAAAUCCCCACUUCUGAGGUGCUGCUGCUCUGUGCUGGUUCCCAGUGACCCAUUCCUCAUGGCUGCUGAUAUCCAUGGAUCCAAGAUGUGGCUUGUGGCCAUGUGUCUGUGCUGCCUCCACCUUCUGUGGUUUUGGGUUGGAGGAUUACAGGUUGAUAGCAGCCCCUGCCAGGAACACUGCAGAUCCCUUUGGUUUCAUGUAACUCUUGCCCCUCUUGAGAGAGAACAUUUGUCAGACACUUCUACCUCCAGGUACCUGGAAUUUUUCACCAUUCCAGUCAAUGCAACAAGGCAUUUUGUCUUUGAGAAAAGAGGCAAUUAUUUCUGCUUGGGAAAGCUCCCAACUGAGCACAUCCUCUUGCCCCAAGGCCAGGAUGAUCACCACUGUGAGUGAUCCAGGGGCUCAGACACACUCCUGGUGCCAGGUACAAUGCUGGAACUCCUGCUGCCACCAUUCCUGUGGAUUUCCCCUCUGCCACACCAUAAGGAGUGCGGUGACCCUCCAACAACAGACUGGGUUUUAAAACCAAUUCUCCAGCAGCACCAGGCUGUGCCUGAGGAUCCAGCAGUCCUGAAACCUUUCCUGGGCACUGGGAAAAGAAAAAAAACUUGUUUGCCGUGUUAAAGACCUGACCUAAACUUAAUUACAGUCAGAGUUGGAACUCCAGCAGUUGAUAAAAUAUGCUGAUCUACUAAUUUCAGUUAAAAUGAGUACUGGAAAGAAGAUUUCAGACAGAAAAGAAAAGAGCAAAUUUCAGCUAAGAAGAAAUUUUCUAACUGUGGUUCAGAAACGCCUGCAUACCAGCACUUUAUUAUUGCCAGCAACAUUGGCACAGCUUAGGGGUAUGGAGCCCCUUUUUAAAAGCAUAUUCCCUUCACAGUGAAUUCUGAAAGCAUGUCAGAAUUAUCAACCCUUUUAGCAGCAUUUACAUCUGUACUCAGCCUUCAGUGUUGCUGAAAUCUCUGUGAGACCUAAACGUAUCCUUAAAUGCUGCCCUUAGAGACAUUUUCCUGAGGAACUAAUUUUCUGAAGCAUGGCCUCUAACUGCAUGGAAAACUAGCCAAGCAUCUUUGUCUUCCCAUUUCUGAACUUGACAUCAAUUAUAAAAACACUGAUUUUUAAAGGUUCUUCCAAAGGAGCUCUUUUCUUGUCACCGUGUGUCACUGUCAGUCACAUUUCAAGCCAUGGAUUUGAAAACCGACCUGCAGAAGCAGCUACCUUUGUCAUAAAUUUAACUCGACACCUUCUCUGUGGGACUUUCAAUUAGGAUUUAAUUUUUAAGGAAAAAACACUGAAAGUGUCAGUCCAAACAUAUGGGAGGCCUACACAUACUGCCUUCUACUUCAGACUCCAGGAUGAUCAAGAACAUAAAAUGCCAAGUUUUGGAGAAAAAUAACUUUUAAAAACUUGUUUCAGGGACACAGAAAGCAGUUUCUGCUGUUUGAGGGGCUGUGUGGCUCUGAGGCCUGAUGGGCGUCGCUGAGGGCUCAGCCCAGCAGGCAGAGGUGGCUCCGUGCCACUGCUCAGAAUCCCGUGUUUUCCACUUAAAUUUGGGAGUCUCGAUGGAGGACGUUUAAAAACCCCAGCAUAUUUCAGUGCUGGUUGCUGGAAGCUUGGAUCCUGAGGCGGUGGGAGCUGGUGUGGCGGGGAAGAGCCGAGCCCUCGGGCCG